rnacentral:misc_RNA from 1 species
AGGAGGAGAAAGGAAUAAGAAGAUGCUCAAGCACACAAUUCGAAGCUUGAAAAAAAGAUUGAGCUCUAUUUCAACUACGAACACACCAAGAGAGGAGGUCGAUUGUGUGGUGAUAGGAGCAGGUGUGGUGGGCAUAGCAGUGGCAAGAGAGCUUGCUCUCAAGGGCAGAGAGGUAUUAGUGGUGGAUUCCGCCUCGAAUUUUGGCACUGGUACCAGCUCUCGCAAUAGCCAAGUCAUUCACGCCGGCAUCUAUUACCUGCCCAAUUCCCUCAAGGCAUUGUUCUGUGUGAGGGGAAGAAAAUUGCUCUAUUCUUAUUGCUCUGAACAUGGGAUUCCGCACAAACAGAC